GAUGAAUGCUGGCGGCGUCCCUAACACAUGCAAGUCGAGCGGCAGCGAGGGGUGCUUGCACCCUGUCGGCGAGCGGCGAACGGCUGAGUAACGCGUAGGAAUUUGCCCCAAAGUGAGGAAUAACUGCCCGAAAGGGUAGCUAAUGCCGCAUAUGGUCUUCGGAUUAAAGGAUUUAUCCGCUUUGGGAGAAGCCUGCGUUGGAUUAGGUUGUUGGUAGGGUAAUGGCCUACCAAGCCGACGAUCCAUAGCUGGUCUGAGAGGAUGAUCAGCCAGACUGGAACUGAGACACGGUCCAGACUCCUACGGGAGGCAGCAGUGAGGAAUCUUCCACAAUGGGCGAAAGCCUGAUGGAGCAACGCCGCGUGAAGGAUGAAGGCCUUCGGGUUGUAAACUUCUUUUAUGAGUGAAGAAUAUGACGGUAACUCAUGAAUAAGCACCGGCUAACUACGUG
rnacentral:rRNA from 1 species